ACGAUCAUAUCACGUUGAAACACCGGUUCUCGUACGAUGACCGAAGUCAAGCAACGUCGAGCAUGGCCAGUACAUAGAUGGGUGACCGCUUCAGAGUACCAAGUGCUGUAA